GGGGCGAUAGCUUAGCUGGGAGAGCGCCUGCUUUGCAAGCAGGAGGUCCGGGGUUCGAAUCCCCGUCGCUCCA
rnacentral:tRNA from 1 species